UUCCAGACUCCUACGGGAGGCAGCAGUGAGGAAUAUUGGUCAAUGGACGGAAGUCUGAACCAGCCAUGCCGCGUGCAGGAAGACGGCUCUAUGAGUUGUAAACUGCUUUUGUACAAGGGUAAACCUGAAUACGUGUAUUCAGCUGAAAGUACUGUACGAAUAAGGAUCGGCUAACUCCGUGCCAGCAGCCGCGGUCAUACGUAGGAUCCGAGCAUUAUCCGGAGUGACUGGGUGUAAAGAGUUGCGUAGGUGGCAUAGUAAGUAGCUAGUGAAAUCUGGUGGCUCAACCAUUCAGACUAUUAGCUAAACUGCUAAGCUCGAGACCGUUAGGGGUAACUGGAAUUUCUAGUGUAGGAGUGAAAUCCGUAGAUAUUAGAAGGAACACCGAUAGCGUAGGCAGGUUACUGGGACGGUUCUGACACUAAGGCACGAAAGCGUAGGGAGCAAACGGGAUUAGAUACCCUCGUAGCC
rnacentral:rRNA from 1 species